GAAUGACAUGAUGAAUAGAGGAUGUUUCCCUAUUGGUUUGAUUGCCGUGAUGAUGGCAUCUCUAAGUAUUAGCUCUAUCUGAUCAUUC